rnacentral:rRNA from 1 species
GACGAACGCUGGCGGCGUGCUUAACACAUGCAAGUCGAACGGAAAGGCCCUGCUUUUGUGGGGUGCUCGAGUGGCGAACGGGUGAGUAACACGUGAGUAACCUGCCCUUGACUUUGGGAUAACUUCAGGAAACUGGGGCUAAUACCGGAUAGGAGCUCCUGCUGCAUGGUGGGGGUUGGAAAGUUUCGGCGGUUGGGGAUGGACUCGCGGCUUAUCAGCUUGUUGGUGGGGUAGUGGCUUACCAAGGCUUUGACGGGUAGCCGGCCUGAGAGGGUGACCGGCAACAUUGGGACAGAGAGAAGGCCGAGACUCCGACGGGAGGCAGCAGUGGGGAAUAUUGAACAAUGGGGGGAAGCCUGAUGCAGCAACGCCGCGUGGGGGAUGACGGCCUUCGGGUGGUAAACAGCUUUCGCCUGUGACGAAGCGUGAGGGACGGUAAUGGGUAAAGAAACACCGGCGAACUACGU